CCGUGCUAGAUGGGGAGGUAGCGGUGCCCUGUAACUCGCAAUCCGCUAUAGCGAGGUUGAAUUCCUAUUCUAGGUGUUGUCGAUGUGAGGUCUGACGCUUGCAAGUAGUGUUGACAGUGGGGUCCUUCGCAAUGGACGCUUAUGAACCUGGUCAGGUCCGGAAGGAAGCAGCCAUAAGUAAGUUAGUUCAUGUGCCGAGGGAGUGCCUUGCUCGAGCUAUGUAGUAAGAAAGUCGCUUGGAUCGCUUCUAUCGAAGAUAGGUGCACGG
rnacentral:SRP_RNA from 1 species